rnacentral:misc_RNA from 1 species
AAGUCGUAACAAGGUAACCGUAGGUGAACCUGCGGUUGGAUCAUUAACAAAUCGAAAGGUCUUCAAGACCUUUUCCAACACUUUGUGAACUGUAAAUGUCUCUUGCGUGUCUUUGCGGCACGCAUAUUUUAAACCCUUGCAAAAAAUUUUGUCUAGAAACUAAUGAAAAAAGUAAUUAAAACAACUUUUGACAACGGAUCUCUAGGCUCUCA